GUUUAGGUGUCAAACAGGAGGGGACAGUGGAUUAUGCUGUGUAGUUAUGUGGUUAGAUGGAUAUAGUGUUGAUUUAAUCAGUGUUGGUAAUCUGGGACACCUCACACCCUGUUGUUAACACUGAAAUGCCACACUAAAUUGCUUCUUUUCUUCUUUGAGUACUCCUGUCAGGCAGCAAUUGUAAAUCAACUAAGUCCUCACUCCUAUGCAGCUCCACAGCUCAGUGAUCCGGGUUCCAGGGCCAGGGGUGGUAGCUCCCUGGUGCUAUUAGUUAGCAGGAUCAGUGCUGGAUGGGAGGACAUGGAAGAAGACCGGGGGACACCUGGCCUUUUCUCUUUGGGCGCUCAGAUAUGUCACAGCUUUGCCUCUUGACAGAAUCAGGAUGCAGGAUAGUGCCCUCCCAUUGAUGUGCGUCCUGAAGCUCCUCAGCCUGAAGUGUAUCAAUGCAACAUCCAGCAGCACCACCAGGAUAUCUGGUCGAAGUAGACGGUCCUGCUUCCACUCUGCCAGCGUGUUUCCAGCAGCUCUGGUUUAUUUCCAGUCUGAUGUCAAGACAGGCUGGUAAAUCACCUCUCCUGGUCGCCCUGUUUUCAUGCCAGAGAAACAAAAAGAGCCUCUUCCAUUUCUCUUGCUCUCAAAGAGAAAAAGAGACACCUUGCAGUGGAGCACCCUGCUGUGUCUCCUAUUGACCCUGGAGUUUCACCUCCCCUCCAGCACUACAGAACUACAUAUGUGCAGAAACAGGUGCACUUUCAAAGACUGAGGCUGCAUGCCAAGGUCUUUGACCUUAUCAUCCACCUCACUGGUUCCGGAAGAAUCCUUUCCGCCCCCUGUGGCUACCAAAGCCCCGGCCGAUACACAGAGCACAGCAGCAGACCAUCUUCAGCCUCAGACUAACAGCCAAGCGCCACAACCAGUUAGGAGUGAUCCCAGCAGAGCGCCCAAGUGGCUCAAACUGCCAGGUAUGUUCUAAUCAUCCCCGGCGUGGGCCCAGUGGCUCCUUAACAAAGUUUAGGACCCUCAGAGAGGCCUGGGGCCUCCAGGAAAUGCAUGUAUACUGUAUAUACUGCAUGGCCCAGCAGUAUAUGCAGUCAACAGAGAUGCUACCUCUGUUAUUUGCAUUCACUUCACACAUGCAAGCUUUCUGUAAAACGCAUGCGUACCAAACGUCUGGACCGGGUUUUGUUUGUGUUUUUUUUGACAGCUCUGUAAAUGUUUGUAACUUUACGUGUGUGUGUGUGAGAGUUGCGUGUGGAGCAUCUAAGAGGAAUGCACUCGCUCUGUGUCCCCUGCAGCAUUCCUCCAUGGUCAGACAGCUCCAUGCCCAUGAGGGGGCCACAAGGGCCUCUUGUCUCCUGAGCACUAAUGUGUCACAGCCCCAGAUCAAGCACAACAUGCAUGCAAGCACAUACAUGCACAGAAAGAUCUGAGAACAGAGGCAUGCCAUCACAUAUUUAUUAUAUAAGUACUCACAAACGUCUAAUUGAAAUGAAGGGGGUAAAAAUGGCACUUAUGGCAGAUGACACCUAUAGUUUCUUUGUGGAUUAAGAUUUCCUGUCAUCUCCUGUCUUUGCAAGAAUUAUAAAAGUGCUUCCAUGACAGUAGAUCAUAUUUGUCUUUCCCAUACUUACUAUCAUCCAAAUGUUUUACCCAGGUUAAAAGAGGUACAAGGUCUAUCAGUUAAAAAGAGCAAAGACUUGCAGCAUUAUUAAUGAAAAUAAUGUAUAUGGUACACAACAACUGUUUCUAUGUGCACAUUCAUGGUAAAAGAGAAAAUUGUAUGUGCCAUAUAAGCCUAUAAACCUUGAUGUAGCUCAUACACUUUGGAUUUUGCCUGCUUGGAUGUUGGAUUGCUUGGAUCUCAGAGAGGCCAGCAGUCAGGGAAAUGGGUGUAUUAUGAUAACUUGUCAUAGACAGGACCCUAGUUUGGGCCUGAGAAGAAAGGAGCUUUGAGAUGAAAGAAAGUUGGGGAGAUGGGAGAAUCUGUGUCAUUCUAACAAAAAAAAACAACAACCAUAGACUAGUAAAUGGGGAAUUAAGGAGUGAAAUCUGACAUAAUCCUAACAUACCCUCACAGGGACUCUCAAGACUGAUGCAGACGACUUUACCCCAGACAAACAUCACCCUAAAGCACAAUUACUGUUACUGUUACCACACAGCCUUUAAUCAUGAUGGUGUGAUUUAAAAACUACUGAUGCAAACUGUCCAAAGAAGGUCAAGCUUUGCCUUAACACAACUCAGUCACACUGAUAAAAGAAGUGUUAUUAGCCAAUUUUAACUCGACGUACAAAUAAAAGCUAAAGAACUGUCCUGGCAGUCACUGGUGCUUCUAUAAAAUCGGUAUUGAUAUUGAUAGCUACAAUCAGGCAGAUAUCUUCAAGCAAUUAUAAGGGCCUUGUGCCAUGUGAAGCACUGUCCAAAGACCAGCCAGAAGGCUGGAGACAGAUCAGUCUCUGUCUCCUGGGAAAAGCUUCUCACUGCGGAGCUUCUCCAAAGCGUCUGGACUGGCUGUCGACACUCCCUGCCUUUAAUGUAUGAUCAAGAAAAGCUUUAACUCAUUACUCUCUUCAGCGCCCCUCCCCAUUCUUGUCCUAACUGCUUUCGUAUGUUUAAUAAUAGUGCCUUCAGAUGUAAUUUGUUCCACUAAGAUGCAUAAGGAGAAAAGUUGUACAGUAGUAGUAGCACUACUUCACCAGUAUAGAGACCUUCCAACAGCACAUAUUGUGGAAAAGAAAUAAAUCUGUGAGAGAUCCAACAGAACAAUUGUUUUUAUUUCAUCUGCAAGGAUUGACAGUGGGAGAAGAUAUACUAAUAUCCAAACUACACCUUUUACAGAGUUAUUUCUUACCAUGGUAUUGUACUUUUAGCAAGAUCAUUUGGUUUCAUAUCUGGUAAUAAAAACUGCUUGCAGCAUUUCAUCUGAGUGAGCAGGUUGUCAAAGCGGUGCUUCUGGAGUGUAUUGUACUACACUAAAACUAGAGGGCAGGACUUGCUGCUAUGAAUGACUAAUUAUUAAAACAAUAAAUUGUUUACUUCACAAA